rnacentral:lncRNA from 1 species
UUUGAGUUCGUAAUCAUAUAACUGUAUUCCUAUAAACGGACUAUUAACUCAACUUGAUUUCUAUUCAAUGGUUUCCAGAUUAUUCCCAACUUGAAGCAUUUAUCAUUAGAGAACAGGGACACCUCAACGAUUCCUCAAGGCCAGUUUCCAGCACACAAACUAGAAUUUCUUGAAUUGAAUUGUUUUCUUGAUGGUUCAACAGAUUCUGCAUUUGGUCUCAUUCAUAAAUUUCCAAAUAUUAAAAAGCUUACUCUGGCAGCUUCUUCCUUCAAAGUGCUAUUCCAACAUGGUAUUCUUGGUGAAGCUGAAGGGGCUCUCGCUCGGCUGCAAUUCUUAAAACGGGACAACCUUCCGCACAUGAGCCACAUUUGGAGUGAAGAUUGCCCACCUGACCAUGUUUUCCAAAAUCUUGAAGCUUUAGAAGUAUGGGUUUGCCGCAGUUUGAUUAUCUUGGCACCGUCAACCGCAUCUUUCCAAAACCUUUCUACUCUUGAUGUUUCGGACUGUGAUCGACUAGUUAACCUAGUAGCAUCCUCUACUGCAAACAGUAUGGUGAACCUCACGAAAUUGACUGUAAGAGAUAGCAAUAUGCUGAAAGAAAUUGUAGCCAACGAGGGAAAUGAAUCCCAAUCCCAUUCCCAACCUCAGAUUAUUCUCAGUAAAUUGGAAACUCUAGAGCUCUGUGGCUUAAAAAACCUGACUAGCUUCUGCUCAAUCGCAAGUUGCACCAUCAAAUUCCCAUCUUUGAAUGAUGUAGUUGUGGCACAGUGCCCCAACAUGAAGAUUUUNNNNNNNNNNNNNNNNNNNNNNNNNNNNNNNNNNNNNNNNNNNNNNNNNNNNNNNNNNNNNNNNNNNNNNNNNNNNNNNNNNNNNNNNNNNNNNNNNNNNNNNNNNNNNNNNNNNUGUUGAAUGUUGACUUAGUAGCUAUGGUGAAGGCCGUUGGAAGAUUAGAUAAUUAUUUGUUAUUCUGUUGCUAUUUUUAAGGAAUAAUUUAAUAUGCUUAUCAUAUCAGAUAUGCAUAAUAAGUUUGCUUAUUUUUCUGAAGUUUUCUGUUUUUAGAGUCUAUAAAUACUUCUGUAAUAGUGUUUCAAUAUAAUAAAAAAAAAGCCUUCACAUGUUUAUAAAUUUUGUUGUUUAAGAUCCUUUUUGAAUUACUCUUAGUUUCUGAGACACAUAUCUAACAUAUCUCUUAUCAUCAUCAAUGAUUAAAAGUAUUGUGCAUCUCCAAAGAAUUGAGAUAUGUGAUUGUAAAAAGAUGGAGCAAGUAAUAGUCGGGGACGGUUCAGAAGAAGAAACGAGGAUGCUACUACGUGAACUAGGGUUCCUGAAACUUGGAGGUCUUCCGAAACUCACACGAUUCUGCACAUGUGAUUUGAUUGAAUGUCCUGCAUUAAAUGAGCUGCAAAUUAUAAAUUGCCCUGUACUGAUGACAUUUGUCUCCAGUUCUGCAAGUGCAGUCAUGGCAGCAAGCAGUGAACGGGAAAUAUUGGACUAUACACUCUUUAAUGAAAAGGUGAUCUCUUUUUCUAAUUAUCUAAAAAGAUUGUCUUCAUUCCUGUUAUAUGGUUCGGUUAAUUUGUUUAUUUAGCUGGUGUACUUUCGUGUUCUAUUUUCAUCAUAUUAGUAAUGGAGUAUGAUUUUGUGAUGCAGGUUGCAUUCCCCAACUUGGUGCAAGUGCAAAUUUCCAAUGCAGAUGCUUUGAGAAAGAUCUGGCACAACCAACUCCACUCAGAUUCUUUCUACAAAUUACGGGUAAUGAAGGUGGAAUAUGGCAAUCAACUAGUGCAAAUUUUUCCAUCUAACAUAUUCAAGAGACUCGAGAAUCUCAACGAUGUGGUCAUAGGGAAUUGUGAUUCACUAGAAGUGGUCUUCGAUCUCCAAGAGCUGGUUAUAAAUAUAACAGAAUCAAUAACGAGUGAAUUGAGAGAUUUGGAUAUUCGAAACCUCCAAAAUUUGAAGUAUGUGUGGAAUAAGGAUCCCCAACAAGCUCUCUCCUUUCCUAACUUGAGUUCAGUUUAUGUUUGGGACUGUCCAAGCCUGAAAAACCUGUUUCCAACUUCCAUUGCUAAAAAUCUUCUCAAACUUAAAACAAACUUGACUUAAGUAAUUGUGGCUUGAAAGAACUUGUUACAAAGGAGGAAGAAGUGGAAACAAAUCCUAAGUUUGCAUUUCCUCAACUCAAGUCCUUGGACUUGUGGAGAUUAAAUGAGCUAAAUUGUUUCUAUCCUGGAUCUCACACACUAGAAUGUCCAGUUCUAGAAAAGUUGGCUGUCUUUCAUUGUGACAAAUUGGAGACUUUAACCUUUGAACCAGUUGACAGCAACUUGCAAGAAACACAAAUGGAGAACGCGCUUUUCUCAUUUAGAGAGGUACCUGUGGUCCUCAAUCCCUAUAUUAAAGAAAAUCUAAGCACGACGAGUUUUUUUCUUAACAUGUCUUCAAACUAUUUCAAUUUGUCUUUUUUUCCAGAUCAUCAACAACUUGGAGCAUUUAUCGCUAACAAGAAAGGAUGCAACAACGAUAUUGGAAGGCCAGUUUCCAGAAGACCUCUUUCACAUGCUGAAAUUCAUACAGAUAAAUUGCUAUCACGAUGAAUCUGCAGUUUUUCCAUUUGAUCUCCUUGAAAGAUUCCACAGCAUGGAAAAACUUGCUGUAGGGUGCAGUCAAUUCAAAGAGCUGUUCCCACAUGAAGGACAUGUAGGUAAAGAAAAAUAUGUUAAGACUGUCGGGCAGAUACGGCACCUAGAGUUGUAUGCUCUUGCCAAUUUAGAGCAUAUUUGGAACCAAGACUCCCAGUUAGACAAAGUUCUUCAAUCUCUCGAAAUUCUAUCUGUUUGGCGGUGUGACAGUUUGAUUACUUUAGCACCAUCCUCAGCUUCUUUCCAGAAUCUGACAACUAUGGUUGUAAAAUCUUGCAAAGUAUUAGCAAGUUUGAUGACGUCCUCAACAGCAAAAAGUCUGGUUCAGCUUACAAGAUUGAGUAUAAGGGAAUGCGAUAUGCUGAUAGAAAUAGUUGCCAGCGAAGGAAAUGAUGGAUCAAGAGAGGAGAUCAUCUUCAACAAAUUAGAAACGCUGGAACUUCUUUAUUUACCCAGCCUCGUUAGCUUUUGUGCAGCAGGGCACAGCUUCAAGUUUCCCUCUUUGACACUAGGAAUUGUGGAGCAGUGCCCCAAGAUGCAGGUUUUCUCAAGUGGAGUCUUAAGCACGCCAAAGCUACAAACUUUAAGAGUGACAGGAGAACAAGGACAUGAAGGACGUUGGAAUGGCAAUCUUAACGCCACCAUACAACAGUUGUUUACAGAAAUGGUAUGUUUUCUGAAUUCAAUAUUCAUUUCCUUUAAUGAAUAGGUAGGUAAGUGCAUGCGUUAGUAGUUCAAGAAAUCACACAAUUCAUUAAAAGACCAAAAAAGGAAAACCAUUUCUUUAAAAAUUGGUAACUAGAGUCGUCCUCAAGCAUUAUCUGACUUUAUUGCCUCUGCUGCAUAUUUUGCAUGGUCGCCAGAAUGCAGAGGAAGAUCAAUCGCCAUCUAUCGAGUGCUGAAGGCGUAAAAAGUCGAUUUUCGUUGUGAUACGAGGCAGUAGAGGCAAAUGGUGUACUCUAUUGAUUUAUGAAAUGGUGGAGGAUCAUUUUAUUUCCAUGUUAUUGCUGCUGUGAAGCUCUCUCUAUAUUUGUAUUUCUUCAAGGAUUCUGAUAUUCAUCUUAAAUUUGUUUUGAAUAAAUUAUAUUUCUGACUUGAAACCAUCAAUGAAGUGCAGAGAUCUUAUUUAAAUUAAUAUACACGAGAUUCUCAAUGGCAAAACAUCCCUCUUAACUUAACACAUUCUUUUUACAAUACCAGAAAAAACAUUCAAGUUACCAUACGAUAUUAAGUUGGAGGCUGAAGGGGCUAAGGCCACCCAAGAAUUAAAAAAAAAAAAAAAAAUUCUUUUGAAAAUUAUAUUUUGCUCUCUACAAUUUGCAACAAAAUUUCAUUUGGCUCCUCAAAAUAAUUAAAAUAAUUGUCCUAGCUCUACCUCUGAUUGCAAACAGCUUUGCUAUGAUGAUACUAGCAUUGUUUCAAGGGUGUGAUGCUAUAAUUAUAAAUUUUAUAUCUCAUUGAAAAGAUAAUAUGAGAUAAUAAGAAAUAAGCUAGUUGUUCCCCUUUUUUUUUUUUUAAAGAAAAAAAGAUGUAAUGAGAGAUUUGAACGAAUCACCGGACUUUUCAUCAAUUCGAUGAGAUUUAUUAAAAAAUGUGAGGACUCAUGUAAAAUUUAAGCUCAAAUAUUUUUUAGCUGAAAGAAAUUCAUUUGAAAGUGAAAUUUUAAUAAUUUUUACUUUACAUUUUCACUGUCGUUUUCGGUUCAAAAUAUUAAUACUAAAGGAACGCCCAUAAUUACACAAAUAUAGUACAAAAUAUAGGUAAGAUCUUAGAAAAUUUUAAAAAAGUUAUAUUAUUUUCUUUGUGUGAACCUUUUAAAUGAUACAAGAGUGUAAGAGAAAGGCUUGUGAACCAAAAAUAUGCAUUUGGAGAAACGAAGACAUGUUAGAAACAUAUAUACUACACAUAGCAAGGAAGUGGUAAUAUCCCAUGAAGAAAAUGACUAGAGGAGAAAAAAAGUCUUUCCUUGAUUUUUGGAAGUAGAAAUUGCUUCACCAACUAAAUUCUAUAAUGACACAACCAUAUCAGAUAUAGCUUUAUUAUCAUAAACAUGUGCAAACAUUUAUUUUGUGGAUAUGCAUGCAACUAUAAAAUAACUCAAUCUUGAUUUAUUUAUCAUGUGAGUGGUUAGGAUUGAAUUAAAGGGAGCAUGCCUCCCUAACCACAUGAUAGGGACUUUUGUUUAUGAUAAGUGUAACUUAAGGGAGCAUUGUUUCAGAUAAGAUCAUACACCGGCUAAAUUUGAUAAUCACAAUUCAAAUACUCUCCGCCAAUUGAUAGCAACAUUUUUUUUAGAGAAAAUCAAAUUGAAAAUUUCACUAAAAUUUGGUAAAUUCAAAUCCAAACACUAGUCAUGUGUUCACAAUCCAUGGGCCUCAGUUUUCACAGCCCGUUUUAAGUAGACGAAAUUUGCUAUAGCUCAAGUGAGUUUUAAUUGCUUACUUGACCUCGGUUUUAAAAAAUGUUGCAAAGACUUGAAGUCAACAUUAUUAAAUUGUAAUUAAAAACUUAAAAUCAAAUUAAACACGAUUAAUUUAAAUGAAUUCAAAUUUAGUAAAUUCUUUCUUGACAUAUUAAUAUUAAUAUAUAUUUAAAAUUCAGCUCCUGAACUUUAAACCCCUAAAAUACUCGGAUUACUAUAUAUAAAAUAAUGAAUACAAUCCAAUUCUAUGCCUAGAUUUGAGUGGAUAUGAAGUUAUAAACAGAAACACGUCUAAGUCGUAGUUUCCAGUACAUAAGCAGUAAUCUGGAUGUGCAAAAAUGAAACCAUCUCCACAUUUUUUAACAACUCUGAUGCUGCAGGCAUUUCCUUCAACAACUCUGAUGCUGCAGGCAUUUCCUUCAACAACUCUGAUGCUGCAGGCAUUUCCUUCAACAACUCUGAUGCUGCAGGCAUUUCCUUCAACAACUCUGAUGCUGCAGGCAUUUCCUUCAACAACUCUGAUGCUGCAGGCAUUUCCUUCAACAACUCUGAUGCUGCAGGCAUUUCCUUCAAAUAUUAAACCUCCCCAUACUUGCCUGCAACUAUUUUGUUAGGCUGACAAUUACUGAUACAAUAUAUGGAAGAAGGUACAAUAAUAAAGCACCAAGCACUGAUGAUAGUGCAAGUAUUAGAAAACAAAUUGUCCUCUACUGAUUUUUAACUUGCGCGCUCUAAUGGGGAACUAAACAGAAAAGGUAAAUAGAUUUAAGAACAAGUUAGCGAUAGGACAUAGACGGCCCCGCAAAUGAGUACCGAGAUGAAACAGGCGGUGGUGCGAUUUCUGGUUUGGCUCCUUGGUAUGUCUUCCUAUAAUCUGGUAGUGGAUCAAUAGCAUACUUUAAGUGCAAUUUAUCCAUUUGAUCAGUCUCUCUCCUAUGUAGAGGAUCAGCUUCAGUUAAAUAAGUCUCUUUCAGACUAUCAGAAUAAUAGGAAGCUGAAGAAACUUCUUCGCGCCUUGGGGGCAGCACAUAUGAAUUCGCAGAAGCACCGUGUUGAUAAGAAUAAUAUGGAUCCCUUGUAUACGAGUCUAACGCAGUAAUCGCAGAACCAGAUGCUGCUGCAGAAACUGAAGGAGCUGCAGGUGGCAAUUCACUUCUACCACUAAGAUUAUAUGUCUGAAACUCUCUUUGAGCCAAGUACAGGGGAUCAGCAAGAAUGGAUGCUCUCUGCAUGGGAACAGUAUCACCAUAUAUAGUAGCUGGCUGUCUAAGAAGCUGCUCUCUUUCCAGAUCCUUCUGGUAUAGAUCUAGGGUAUUAGAAGGAGCACCACGUACAGGAGUCACGUUUCUUCGCUCUCUUUGAAGACCAUAAGUACGAUAAUCCUUUUCACUCAUGUAUAAAUCGCGAGAAGUUUCCUCUUUAUGUCUUAAUACCACCUCCUGGCGCCCAAUACCCUGAUCCCUUUCAUGAGGGACUACAGGAUAACUCCUACCAUCACCACUAACUCUGGCAAAUGUUUCCGGAUCUGAAAGACGUCGCAAAUCUCUCUGCCCCUCACAAGCUUCCCUAUCUCGCAUAGUUGCCUUUGCUGGGGAAUGGAUAGGCACUGUAGCUGACUGCACUGACUGAAAUAUGGCAGGUCGGAAAAGUUCACUGAGCUUCCUAACCUGAAAGGGAAAUUUCGUAAAAUCAUGAAUGGUAAACUGUGAAAAUAGAGAAUAACCAUAAAACUACCAGGUUAAACAAGUAAUUCUCACUUGUCGAACAGUAAGUUCUAUCUUGAACUUGUUCUUCUCAUCGUAGUUGUCCUUUAUAGCCCUCUUGAAGACACUCUCAGGGAGUGGAAAACAAUCCUUAUGGAUACUGAAACGUACCUGAACUUCAAAGAUAUCAGUCUACAGAUCUAACUAAAUUGGUGAAGAAAACAACAAUGUUUACCGAGAUAAGUUAGACUGGAUAUACUAAAACAUAACCUGAACUGGGAAGGACCCACCAAAAGCCUUGGGCUCCAGUCUCAUCCCACCAGAAGAUGAAGCUUUAUAAAUUCCAUACAUAAGUCUAAGAUCAAAAUCAUAGAGGAAAAGCUUUAGUCCAGGUUUCACACCCAGCACAAGGUCUUUUUUACUUCCUGUUACUCCCAUGACUUGAUAUCGGAAACAAUCUGGCUUGGUCUUUGCACUACACAUAAAGAUCAAACCACCGAGCUUCUCCUUUCUUUCAUCUCUUUGACUCUUUUCCUUCAAAUCAAGCUUUUCUUUGUUUCUUUGACUCCUCGAGUUCUUAUCUGUAUUGCCAGGCUUUCCUUCACUCCUUAAGUUACUCCCGUUCCUACUUGAACCAGCAAUCCUUUCUUGGCUCUUUUGAGUCUCCAGGUGCUUUGCAUUGUGCUCUUCAUGGGCACCUUUGUUUUGUCCCUCUUUCUCAGAAUUUGGGUUCUGAUCAUUCUUGUGCUCUUGCCUGUCACCUUCCUUUUUUCUCUUGGACAACAUUGUUAUUCUUCUUCUUUCUGUUUCUUCCCCAAGUUCGUGGAUUAUCUUUAGCUUUCUUGACCUUCAAUGAUUUUUUCUUAACUUCAGAUUUGGCCCUCAAUGAUUUGGGGGUUAUUUUUUUGGAUGAUUCUGGUUUAAUUGGUGUUUCACCAGGAUUCCCAGAUUCCUUAUUUUGCAUUGCACUUGAUGGUGAUUCGGUGGAGGUUUCCACAGGAUUCUUAGCUUCCUCAUUGUUUUUUUCAGGUGAUAUUGAUGUAGCUUGUGCUUCAGCAGAAUUGCCUGAAUCUUUAUUGGCAUUAUCUUGUUCCAUGUACCCUAUGAAAUUGUAUAGGGUAGAAAAAUACCCGAUACUUUUUGGCAUUUCUUUUAUUGUAAGUUACACGUGAUUUAUUAGCUCAAAAUUAAAAGUGGAAUUAUCUUUUUGGAAGAUGUAACUUUUUUUGUAUAAAGUAUCAAUCCUUUUGUACAGCUGAUAUUUAAUAGAUAAGCCAAACUUAAAGUUCUGUAUUUAUGUUAAGCUAGAUUUGACUUGAGCAGUUUCAGUGAUUUCGUCAUUUCACAUAUCCAGUUAUUCCUUUGCAAAUAUGUUUGAUAUUCACCACUAUAAGGUGCAUUUUUUGGCUUUCUGUUUUGUCAUUUUUAUGUAUCCACUUCUGUCCUUGUGCAGGCAUUGUCUUCUUUGUAUAUAUGGGACAAUUGCCCUUGCGUUGGUUCGUGCAGGAAGAUUGAAAGAAUUAAGGGUUGUAUAUAUUUUAACUGGUAAAAUUAACUUUAGUUAUCUUCUAGUUGAUGGCAGUUAUGCUUGUGAAUGUAGUGUCUAACUUUUCCUUAUUUGCAGUUUACUAUGGCAUUGAAAAUUCAUUUAGUAGUCCAGCUCCACAUGUUGUACAGGUAGACAUGAUGAAUUCUUACCAUUCUUCUCUGGCACUUUAUUGCACUUUUCUAUUUAUGUUUUCAUUAAUUGUUAUUUUCUGUUUGCAGUGGCUGUUGGGCUCAUAUAACACACAAAUACUUCUUAUGGUGUUUCUUGCCAUAGUUUCUCUCUUAUUAGCAGGAUUCUUUGGGUACCAUGCCAACCUGUGUCGAAUGAAUACCACGACUAAUGAGGUCUGGUCUAGUUUCUCUGUAAUUUGUUCAACUAGUUUUAUCUUUUCUCUUGGACAUAGGCAGAAUAAUUUACAAAAUGGGAGAAGCACGUACUAUCCCUGAUUCCAUUUCUUUUUUAUGGGUCAAAAAUGGAAUCAAAUGUGUUGUUGAACAAUGAAUAACUACCACAACUGCAGUGCUAUGCAUGUUUGCCUCUUCUGGUUAAUUUCAGGACAAAAACAUUGCAUCUUAAUUCUUAAAUAACUUCACGUAACUUUAAGAAGUUUAUGUAAAGUAGUUUCCUUCCCUCAGGCUUAUUUGUGGUGAGUUUAAUAAUCGGUUCUGCAAUGUCAGUAAGGAUCAAACUCUUUCCCAUAAGAGUUCUUGUGAUGGCUGUAUCGAUCUUUACAUGUGAUGUUAUUAAAGUAGUUGAUGUAAUUUGUUGUUUUUUUUUUCUUUUUUUAAUAAAAAUUAUUUCUGGUAGUUUAUGGUAGUUAAAGCCAUUUCUCUCCCUCACUCUAUUGGCAGAUUCAAAUUGUUGCCUUACUUCUUUCGGUAAACAAUUAAUCCCUGAAACUUACAUCUCUGUGUUCUUUGACUUUUUGGUUGGGAUUUACAGACCUUCAAGUGGCAAGAGUACCUUGUCUGGCAAAAGAAGGUAAAUGAAGCAAGGGUUAGUGCCGCGGCACUAAAAGCAAGCAUCAGUGAGAUGGGUGACAAAACAAAGAAUUCAGAGAGCAAACGCAGAGGCUUUUGCCGGAGAUCACCCCUCAAAGAUGCUGAGGUUUUAGUUAAGAGAAACGUGUAUGAUAAGGGAUUCUUUCACAAUCUUUGUGAGGUAAUCUUUCCGCUGUCAACAAUGUUAAAGUUAUAGUUACAGCUCCAUUGAAGUAAAAUUGAUGCAAGUGUUGUUGACAGUUUUUGGAGAAAUUUUGUUAAAGUCAUUUAGAUUUUGUUGUAUUUUGUUGAAGUCAAGAGGUAGGUGAACUACCUUGCUUUUAGGUAGGUUUGGUGAACAACCUUCCUUGACUUAUGGAAGGUUGGUGAACAAACUUUAGACUAGCUCUACUAUAAAUGUUUACAUUAUGCUUUAAUGAAAAAAUAAGAAGUGAAUAUUUGUUUCUUCACACUUACAAAAUCUGCAGCUUUUUUUUCAUUUUCUGCAGAAUUUUUCUUCUCUUCCUUAAUUUUCUGCUCUUCUAAACCAACAAACAAAACCAUCAUGUUUGAGGAAAAAAUCAAAGUCUCGCUGAGAUAGUUGUGAUCAAGCAUUAACUGGGUAGUUUCUAUAGCUUUUCCCUUGAUAGGAGCUUGAACCCAUACUGCAUGUUCAAUAUAUUAUAAUAGAACGUAAUGGAAUGUAAUUCAAUAUGAUAAAAAGAUAAUAAAAUAAUAAACUAUUCCAUUGCGCUCCAUUAUAUAUUACCAAACAUGCAUGUAGAGAACGCUGUGAAGCUUAUAUUUUAUUUGCUGAUGGAAUAGGCAAAAAUAUAAGCAGCAUAGCAAAAAUAUAAGCAGCAUAGCAUAUGGCCUUCACCUUGCAGAGUGAAGUUUGCGAGAGUUUAAUCAUAAUCCUGCAUUUUUACAUUUUAUUUUGGUGAUGAACAUAAUUAUUACUGAAAUAUGAAAGUGUAAGAUCAUAAUAGGUCUUUCCAAAACUUGAGAGGGUGUCACAAAUUGCACAAACUUUACCUUUUUCUUUUUUCUCUUUUUAUAAGUGGUUCUAGCUUCUCAUGUUAUGAUUUGUCUUGUCUUCCCGAAAACUUUUUUUAGGUUCACAACUUGCAAUGUGACCAUCUAUGUACUAUUCCAUAAUUUAAUUAUUUAAAACUAUAUUCAAUAAACUGUGAGCAGAAAAGUAAAAAAAAAAAAAGAAAAUUCCUUUUUAAAAAAGGACAAUUGUCUUUCAUGGAAUUUUUUUUGAGAAUAAAGCUCAAUUUGUUUACUCGACUUAGCAAACUAUAAGCUACUUAAAAAUUAAUUUUUUUAUAUAAUUUAUCUCUUGAACUUACACAAAAAGAAGAAAAAGCUUAUUUUUUUUAAAAAAAAUUAUUUUAAAUAUUUUUAAUUAAUAAAAAUAAUUUAAAAGUUUAGACUUAAAAAAGAAAAAAUAAUUUAAAAAAUUACAAUAUAAUUAAACAAAAUAAUUAAAUUGCUUUCAAAUUCUAAAGGUAAAUUAUUCGAAAAGAUUUUUGAACAAAUUAUACAUUGUUCCACGUUCAAAGGGCAAAUUGGAUCGGAAGUUAAAAGUUUUUAUAUAUAAUGGUUUGGUUCGAAUGGAUGGUUUUCAAAACCAUAUAACCGAACUAAAAGCUCAAGUUUUAAAUUUUACAAAAGCAAAUCAAAUCAUCAAUUAUCGAAAACCACAGUCAAUUUCAGCAGUGAGAUGAAUAGCACUAUCAUCUUCAAGGACAAAUCAAAUUUAUUCAAGUGGUAUAGAUUUGGAAACUUUCUUUAGCUUCCACUGUGCAUAAAUAAUGACUCAAAGCUUCUCUCAUAACUCCUUGAAUGCCAUUGUAAUAUAAAAUUAGUCCACAACGUAAACUCAUGCCAGUUUGUCCUGUGAAGCAACUUGGCCUCGCUGCAUUUAUUAGUGUCUUCAAUGUCAAAAUGAUCAUUUGCAUGUAGAACAUUCUAUAAUCAAUCAACAACUUUGUGUGUAAACAAGCAGAUUAGCCUCAAGUCAAACUGCUGAAAUCAUAAUUGUUAAUUUAACCAGUUCAUGCAUGAUGAUCAAGUAAAUCUGAAAAAGAGUGGUUGUGAUGUGAUCGUCACCACAACCUACUGUAGCAACAGCUUCGUUAUUUAAGUCUGGGGAAGCAGGCUGUUUUACUUCACUUCAAGCCUUCACCCGCUUCUUUCUCUUUCUCUUCUUUGAUCAGCCAUUCUAAGCUUUCGCCAAGUGAUCAUGUAACGAUCAUAUGUUUUCUGUGUCUGAAAUAGUAAUUUAUUAGUCUGUGAAUAGUAUUGCUGGUUCGAAAAUUGAUAUUAUUUUUAUCCGAAAAAAUUACUAUAUAUGUUUUAUAUUUUAUUUAAUAUUUUUGGAGCAUACAUGCAUAAUUUUUAUGGGUAAAAAAUAAGUAAUGAAUAUUUUUGAAAAAUUUAGAUAAUUAGUUAAUAGUGAAUUAUGGUGUUAUAUUAAUUAAGGAAAUUUGAAGAAUUUAUUUUUUUGAGUAAAUUUAAAAAUUUUGUGGAGAUAAAUAGUAUUUUUAAAAAAUUUAAUUGGAGAAUAUUUUUAGCCAUUAGAUUAUAUUACCAUAAACUAAAUCUUAACCACCAAAUUCUUGUCAAAGACUAAAAAGCCCUUUAGUAAAGUCAACUCAAAUAAUUGAGCUACCAUUUUCUCUUCUUCUUCUUCUCCUUUUGGGCGUUAACUCCUCCUCCUUCUUCUUCUCUUUGUUUUUCUUCGCUUCCUAGCUAAAUCCACCGAAUUUACUCCAUUUAACUUGCUUAAGUAAUAGAUCCUAGAGAUUAAAGCUUGAAAAUUGAUUUUUGGUGACUAAGUUCAAGAAAUUUGGAGAGUUACUACUUAAGCCAAGUAAGUGAUCACUUCCUUCCUGCAGAUUAAGGAUUUCAAAUUCCUUCUUUUGUUUGCUUUUAUAUUCCAUUCCUUCGUAUUUAGUCUGUUUUCUCCUUGUUGUUUUCCAUUUCUCAUUUUGAUUCCAAAACCACAAUCUUUUCUCCUCUCUGUUCUUUUUAUGUUAAUUGCUUAUUAUUAGUUGAUUUUCUUUCCAAUUCUCAAUCUUUUUCCUGUCCUGAAAGUUUGUUUUCUUAUUCCUAUUUUCCAAAAAAAAAAAAAAAAAAAAAAAAAAAACCAAUCCAAUUAAGGAGCAAAUGGAAACAGUUGUGGGAACUGGAGUAACAAAAGUUACAGAACCGUUGGUUGAUUCAGUAUUGCGUCAAAUUGGGUAUAUAUGGAACUACCAGGACAACCUCCAGAGCUUGAGAGCUCAAGUACAAAACCUGAAAGGUGAAAUGCAAGUUUUGAAGCAUGACAUGGAGAAUGCUAGACAAAAAGGAGAACAAAUUGAAGAUGUCGUGAAGAACUGGCUGAAAGAUGCGAAUGAGAAAAUUGAAGCUUCAGAGAAAAUUUUGGAAGAUAAUGACAGAGCAAAUCAUUUUUGCUUUAUGGGAUGCUGUCCUAAUAUGAAGACUCGCCACCAGCUCAGCAGAAAAGCAAAUAAAAAGACACAAGUUCUGGUUGAGGUUCGAAAAAAUCGCAAGUUUGACAAAAUCUCCUACCGCACUGCUCUCAAGGGGAUAGGCCCUCCUAAGGAUUAUGAAGCCUUUGAAUCCAGAAUGCUAAUUUUGAACCAAAUGCUGGAGGCUCUAAAAGAUGUUGAUGUUACUAUGAUUGGGGUGUAUGGAAUGGGAGGUGUGGGCAAGACAACACUAGCAAAAAAGCUUGCCAAACAAGUUGAGGAAGAUGGAAUUUUCAAGGUGGUGGUUAUAGCAACGGUAACCUCUAAUGUAGACUUGAAAAGAAUUCAACAAGAGAUCGCAGAGUGGUUAAGGUUCCCUCUUGAAGCGGAGGUCACCGCAGUGAGGGCAGCUUUGUUAUGCUCAAGACUGGAACAGGAGGAGAAAAUUCUUGUAAUUCUUGAUGAAGUUUGGGCACAAAUGAAACUAGAAGAUAUCGGAAUUCCUCUUGGCACCGAACAUAAAGGAUGCAAGAUACUGAUGACAUCCAGAAAUCUAAAUGUAUUGCAUGAGAUGGGCACAGAGAGGAAUUUCAAGCUUCAAGUUUUAGAGGAUGAAGAGGCAAGGGAAUUAUUUGAGAAGAAGGUGGGAACUCUAAAACAUUCGCAGAUAAAACCUAUGACAGAUGAAGUUGCAAAGAGAUGUGCAGGUUUGAUAAAACCUAUGACAAAUGAAGUUGCGAAGAGAUGUGCAGGUUUGCCAAUUUCAAUUGUGGCAGGUGCACCAGCAUUGAAAAAUAAGGGGUUGGAAGAAUGGAAGGAUGCAUUGGAACGCCUGAAAAGGUCUGGUGAGGAUGAUAUGGAUAAGCAAGUUCAAUCUUGUUUUGAUUUAAGCUACAGAUAUUUGGAAAAUGAUGAAAUCAAAUUACUGUUGCGCUUAAGCGCUUUAUUUCUUAGCGGUAGAGUAGACCAAUUGCUGAAAUAUGUUUUGGGCUUGAGUUUAUUCGAGGGAUGCAGAAACUUAGAGGAAACAAGAAAUAGACUUCAUAAGUAUGUUAAUGACCUCAAAUCCUCAUGUUUGCUGCUAGAAGGUCAGAGGGAUGGAGAAGUCAAAAUGCACGACGUUGUUCGCAGUUUUGCUAUUUCAACUGCAUCUAGGGAUCAUCACGUCUUCACUGUAGCAUAUGACAAGGUAUUAGAAUGGCCACCUAAAUCUAAACUUGAACAGUGCACCGCAAUCUCUUUAUAUUUUACUGAAAUUCCUGAGCUUCCGACAACACUUGAAUGCCAGCAACUGCAAUCAUUUCUACUAGUUUAUCCUGGUUUGGGUCUCUCGUUAAGAAUCCCAGAUGACCUUUUUACUAUGACAACAGAACUGAAAGUUUUGGAUUUAACAGGCAUAAGUUUAUUGUCACUACCUUUGUCAAUUCAAAUUCUUGAGAAUCUUCAAACCUUGUGUUUGGAUUAUUGUAAGUUGGAAGAUAUAAGUAUAAUCAUAAAGCUAAAGAAGCUACAAGUUCUCAGCCUUAUGAACUCUGAUAUUGUUCGAUUGCCAAGGGAAUUGGAGCAGUUGACUCAUCUGCGACUUNNNNNNNNNNNNNNNNNNNNNNNNNNNNNNNNNNNNNNNNNNNNNNNNNNNNNNNNNNNNNNNNNNNNNNNNNNNNNNNNNNNNNNNNNNNNNNNNNGAAAAACAAGGUGGUGUAGGGAAAAAUGCUAGCCUCUCUGAAUUGAAGGCUCUAUCAAAUCUAGUAGCUCUAGACAUACACAUUCUUGAUGCAAACAUACUGCCUAGAGAUUUGUUCUCUGAAAAGCUGGAGAGAUUUAGAAUAUUCAUUGGGGAUGGGUGGAAUUGGUCCAAGGAUAUGUAUGCAACGUCAAAAGUGUUGAAACUCAAGCUUAACACAAGUGUUAACCUUGAGGAAAUAAAAGUCUUAUUGAAGACAACUGAACAUCUACAUUUGGAUGAGCUGAACGGUGUAAAAAAUAUCCUCCAUGAGUUAGACGAAAAAGGUUUUCCAUACUCGAAGAAACUCUACGUCCAAAAUAGUCUUGAUAUUGAACAUAUUAUAGACUGGAGGAGGAUGAACCAUUUCAUUGCUUUCCCCAAGUUGGAGUCAUUAUUUCUACAAAAUUUAAAGAAAUUGGAGAAGAUUUAUCACGGCCGUUAUGUGAUGGGGUCUUUCAGCAAUUUAAGAGAAUUAAAGGUCAGAAAUUGUAAUGUAUUGAAGAAUCUCUUUUCGUUCUCUAUGCUCAAGGGUCUUGUGGUGCUCGAAAAAAUAAAUGUAAGCCGUUGUGAAAUUUUGAAAGAGAUUGUUGCUAUGGAAACAAGAGAAGAUUCUGAAAUUAAGUUGCCACAGUUACGCAAAUUGAAAUUGGAGCAUUUACCUCAGCUUACAUGCUUUUGCUCCCAAGGGGAUGUGCCUUCCAUUUCCCAAAAGCCAGCAACAGCUUCUACGAGCUCUGGAGAGGUCAUAUUGGAGGAUGAAUCUGCAACUCUUUCGCUACUUUCCAGCAAAAAGGUACGCUCCAUAUCCUUUUUCUAGUCGGAUUUUUUUUUUUUUCCAAACAAAGUAUAUAUAUAUAAAGGGGUAAAUUAAAUUAUACGUAGAAGUAAUAUUAAUAACUAAAUACAAAUACGGUUUAUUUCUCAUGUAUUAAGUGGAAAUACUUGACAAUACAUUUCUCUGAACUUAAUAAUAAUUAAUUAAUAGUUAAUAAUGUUAAAUAUAUUAAUUUAAAUUUUAUAUUGCUACAUAUAUAAUUAAUAUAUAUCAUAUUUAUUAUACAAUAUCUAAAGUUUUUUUUUAAUUAGUAUUAUAUAUAUUAGGUUUAAAAACUGUUAUUGUUAAUAUUUCUUACUUAAUUGUUCAAAUAACAAUCCUUAAAUUAAAAGUUUUAGAUAAUAAUUUUCUAUUUAAUGUCCAUUUCCCUAUUAGUAUGUUUUGGAGUUGACAGUACUCAAAUUUAUUUUUCUUGAAACACAAAUUGUGUCUACAGAUUCAAUUCCCCAAUUUGGUAGAUCUGAAAUUAGCUUCAAUCAAUGUGGAGAAGAUAUGGCCCAGUGAACUUACAGAAUUAUCUCCAUGGAUUACAAACUUAACAAGCUUGAUUAUUGACACCUGCGAGAAUUUAAGCUAUUUAUUCACAUCUUCUAUAGUUGAAAGCCUCGCGAAACUGAUAAACAUUGAGAUAAGGGAUUGCAAAUCCAUGAAAGAAGUCAUAGUUACAAACCGAGAAGAAAUGAAGAGCAUAAUGCUAUUCCCUAAACUGGUCUCCAUGAAGCUCAAAGGCCUUCCGAGUCUCAGAAGAUUUUGCACUGCGAAGUUCAUAGAAUGUCCCUCCUUGAAAGUGCUGUGGAUAGAGAAUUGCCCGCAACUCCAAGCAUUUAUCUCUAGUUCCAGAAGGACAUAUGCGGGAACUAGUGGGCAAGCAAACUCAACUCUCUUUGAUGAAAAGGUUAUUUCUUUCUUAUCUGUUUACGUUCAUCUUUUAGUUUUCAGAAUUUGAUGUUAACUCCAUGAAAUUUUUACUUCAGAUUUUGUUUCCCAACUUGGAAAAUCUGCGUAUCACGAACAUGCACACAUUGAAGAUGAUAUGGAACGAUGAACUCUGGGAGGAUUCCUUUUGUAGAUUGAAAGUACUCGAAGUAAAGCAUGGAAAAGAACUAUUGAAAGUUUUUCCAUCUAAACAGUUGCUGAGAUUCAAGAACUUAGAAAUAUUGAUGGUUAAUGAUUGUAAUUUAGUGGAAGAGGUAUUUGAUCUCCAAGUAUUGAUGAAAAUACAAGAAGAAACAGAUGUUGUAGCAACCACUCAGACUCAAUUGAGAUUUUUGAAUAUAACAGGACUCCCAAACUUGAAGAAUGUAUGGAAUGGGGAUCCUAGUGGAAUUUUGUCCUUUCGUUACGUACAAAAUGUGUAUGCAUGGAAUUGUCCGAAUUUGAAAGAGCUAUUCCCAUUUUCAAUAGCUCAAAGUCUUCCACAACUUGAACUGCUGAAUAUAGAUGGUUGCGGGAUGGAGGAAAUUGUUGCCAAAGAGGAAAGAGCAGAAGCAACUCCUAAGUUUACAUUUAGUCGACUGAAGUCCUUAACCCUUUGGAGAUUAUAUAUGGAUUAAAGUGUUUUUACUCAGAAAACCACAUCUUAGAAUGUCCGCAGUUAGAAAAAUUGAGUGUCUAUCNNNNNNNNNNNNNNNNNNNNNNNNNNNNNNNNNNNNNNNNNNNNNNNNNNNNNNNNNNNNNNNNNNNNNNNGACUAUUAACUCAACUUGAUUUCUAUUCAAUGGUUUCCAGAUUAUUCCCAACUUGAAGCAUUUAUCAUUAGAGAACAAGGACACCUCAACGAUUCGUCAAGGCCAGUUUCCAGCACACAAACUAGAAUUUCUUGAAUUGAAUUGUUUUCUUGAUGGUUCAACAGAUUCUGCAUUUGGUCUUAUUAAUAAAUUUCCAAAUAUUAAAAAGCUUGCUCUGGCAACUUCUUCCUUCAAAGUGCUAUUCCAACAUGGUAUUCUUGGUGAAGCUGAAGGGGCUCUCGCUCGGCUGCAAUUCUUAAAACUGGAAACCCUUCCGCACAUGAGCCACAUUUGGAGUGAAGAUUGCCCACCUGACCAUGUUUUCCAAAAUCUUGAAGUUUUAGUAGUCGGGGGUUGCCCCAGUUUGAUUAUCUUGGCACCGUCAACCGCAUCUUUCCAAAACCUUUCUACUCUUGAUGUUUGGCACUGUGAUCAACUAGUCAACCUAGUAGCAUCCUCUACUGCAAACAGUAUGGUGAACCUCACGAAAUUGACUGUAAGAGAUAGCAAUAUGCUGAAAGAAAUUGUAGCCAACGAGGGAAAUGAAUCCCAAUCCCAUUCCCAACCUCAGAUUAUUCUCAGUAAAUUGGUAACUCUAGAGCUCNN